GAUGAAGAACGUAGCGAAAUGCGAUAAGUAGUGUGAAUUGCAGAAUUCAGUGAAUCAUCGAAUCUUUGAACGCACAUUGCGCCCUUUGGUAUUCCUUAGGGCAUGCCUGUUCGAGCGUCAUUUAAACCUUCAAGCUAAGCUUGGUGUUGGGUGACUGUCCGCUUCACGGCGGACUCGCCUCAAAAUUAUUGGCGGCCGGUACAUUGGCUUCGAGCGCAGCAGAAACGCGAACUCGGGCCCGUCGUAUUGGCUCCCAGAAGCUAUCUUCACAAUUUUGACCUCGGAUCAGGUAGGGAUACCCGCUGAACUUAAGCAUAUCUAUAAGCGGAGGA
rnacentral:misc_RNA from 1 species